AAUGGACGAAAGUCUGAACCAGCCAUGCCGCGUGCAGGAGGACUGCCUAUGGGUUGUAAACUGCUUUUAUUUGGGAAGAACCUCUCUACGUGUAGAGGGCUGACGGUACCAAACGAAUAAGGACCGGCUAACUCCGUGCCAGCAGCCGCGGUAAUACGGAGGGUCCAAGCGUUAUCCGGAUUUAUUGGGUUUAAAGGGUUCGUAGGCGGGAUAUUAAGUCAGUGGUGAAAACCUGCAGCUCAACUGCAGACCUGCCAUUGAUACUGGUAUUCUUGAAUCUAGUUGAGGUAGGCGGAAUGUGUCAUGUAGCGGUGAAAUGCAUAGAUAUGACACAGAACACCGAUUGCGAAGGCAGCUUACUAAACUAGUAUUGACGCUAAUGAACGAAAGCGUGGGGAGCGAACAGGAUU
rnacentral:rRNA from 1 species